rnacentral:rRNA from 1 species
ACGCUCGACACCUACGGGAGGUAGCAGUGAGGAAUAUUGGUCAAUGGACGCAAGUCUGAACCAGCCAUGCCGCGUGCAGGAUGACGGCUCUAUGAGUUGUAAACUGCUUUUGUACGAGGGUAAACGCAGAUACGUGUAUCUGUCUGAAAGUAUCGUACGAAUAAGGAUCGGCUAACUCCGUGCCGGCAGCCGCGGUAAUCUGAGCGGGCUGGCAAGGC